rnacentral:misc_RNA from 1 species
GCAAACUUGGUCAUUUAGAGGAAGUAAAAGUCGUAACAAGGUUUCCGUAGGUGAACCUGCGGAAGGAUCAUUAACGAAUCGAACAAGAGCACCCCGCGGCUGAUGCUGGCUCCUCGGAGCACGUGCACGCCCGGGGGGCGCCCUCAAUUCGCCCUCACCCCCUUGUGCACUCCAUGUAGGCCUCCGGCGGGGGUCCCUGCCCCCUCGGCGCCUACGACCUCGUCUUCGUACGCACACCCUGAUCGCAUGUCUUAGCCGUUUUUUUUUUCCGCUACGUGAUAAACACGAACACAACUUUCAACAACGGAUCUCUUGGCUCUCGCAUCGAUGAAGAACGCAGC